rnacentral:rRNA from 1 species
UGCAAGUCGAGCGGAAAGGCCCUUCGGGGUACUCGAGCGGCGAACGGGUGAGUAACACGUGAGCAACCUGCCCCUGGCUCUGGGAUAACCCCGGGAAACCGGGGCUAAUACCGGAUACCCACGCACUGCCGCAUGACGGUGCGUGAAAAGUUUUUCGGCUGGGGAUGGGCUCGCGGCCUAUCAGCUUGUUGGUGGGGUAACGGCCUACCAAGGCUUUGACGGGUAGCCGGCCUGAGAGGGCGACCGGCCACACUGGGACUGAGAUACGGCCCAGACUCCUACGGGAGGCAGCAGUGGGAAUAUUGCACAAUGGGCGCAAGCCUGAUGCAGCGACGCCGCGUGAGGGAAGAAGGCCUUCGGGUCGUAAACCUCUUUCGGCAGGGACGAAGCGCAAGUGACGGUACCUGAAGAAGAAGCGCCGGCCAACUACGUGCCAGCAGCCGCGGUAAGACGUAGGGCGCAAGCGUUGUCCGGAUUUAUUGGGCGUAAAGAGCUCGUAGGCGGCCUGUCGCGUCGACUGUGAAAACCCGCGGCUCAACCGCGGGACUGCAGUCGAUACGGGCAGGCUAGAGUUCGGUAGGGGAGACUGGAAUUCCUGGUGUAGCGGUGAAAUGCGCAGAUAUCAGGAGGAACACCGGUGGCGAAGGCGGGUCUCUGGGCCGAUACUGACGCUGAGGAGCGAAAGCGUGGGGAGCGAACAGGAUUAGAUACCCUGGUAGUCCACGCUGUAAACGAUGGAUACUAGGUGUGGGAGGUAUCGACCCCUUCCGUGCCGCAGUUAACGCAAUAAGUAUCCCGCCUGGGGAGUACGGCCGCAAGGUGAA